rnacentral:tRNA from 1 species
GGCUCAGUGUUCUAGGCGUAUGAUACUCGCUUCGGGUGCUAGUGGUCCCGGGUUCAACUCCCGGCUGAGCCC